rnacentral:misc_RNA from 1 species
UUCCUUCUUUUUAGGCUGCAACUUACAGUAGGGCUUAUAAUUAAAUGCCAAAAUAGAUUAUUUAGUGGAGGAGAGAACAAAACAAAAAACCUCGCGUGGAAUCAAUAAGUAAAGAAAAUGGCAAGCAGUCGAGAUAUAGAAUCACAAGGCAUCGGUCUUCAUGCAAGACAUGGCGUCCCCGAACCCGAAUUUCCCGACAUUCAGGAGCCCGAGCCCGCACUUCCACAGAAGAGAUUUGUUCAUAUUUACACGGUAACACGUAUUCUAUGUGGCCUCCUUAUCCUAACAAAUACAGCGAUGGAUUGGGUGUUGUACUCUGAAUUAAAUAGUGACUGUGAAGACAUAAAGAAGCGCUAUUUAGUUGUGACCAUCAUUGGGACAAUCCUCACCAUUGCUCAAAUUUGCAAUAUAGUCUACCAAGUCAAAGCCAACUAUAUCGAAGAUAACAAGUUUCAGGAGCCUUUAAAUUACUUAGAUGGUCGGACGGAAGCUAUGCUAAUGGUCUUGCUUGUAGAGCUGCCUCAGCUUCUUCUAUUGCAAGAUUAUUCAAAGUCCCCAUGUGACAAAGCAAAACAUUGUAGCAAAACAUCUCCAACAUCUUCCACUAAUGGAGAUUCCGACAGAUCUUUGUUUCCGCUGUUUCCAUGGUUUCGACCUUUGACUACUACUACUACUACUACUACUACUACUACUACAGUUCCACCCAACACAGACAACACUUUUGAUAUACAAUUUCUAACUGCGUGCGCAGUUGUUGGCUUGGUUAGUUGCCACUUCCGGUUUCAUUUGAGUAGACCUCUGCCCAGGUUUGGCAGGAGAGGGGUUGCGGAUGAGUAUAAGAUGUUGAAACUACAGAAGACGCGAGUUCUGAAAUGUAUCAUCUGUUUUGAUAAUAUUUUACCGAGAAUUCUUCGGUUUGUGGGACUGGACUGUCUUUGUAUAUUUCGAAAAUUCAAGAUACCAAUGGUUUUCGGGGACUGUCUUGUGAUCACUUGACCCCAAUAUGGCGCUGGUCCUACUUCGUCCUUGAAUGCUGGGUCUGUCGCUUUACGUACUGCCCAAAGCGAGAACGAGGCGAGGUAUGGCUCGUGAACCGGAUGAGGAUGCUACGUCGCAGACCGGGUUUCCUGUGCCUGAACAAGGAGGAUCCUUAUUUCUUAGGCGUCUAUUUUCCUUACUUUUUCAUUUUGACUGUGUGUGUUUUUCUUAGCCUUAUGGGAACGUACAACUGUUCCAUACCAUUUUCUGGGAAAAUGAGACCGGUCUCUGAUAUAGUUCGCUUCGUAUACGGUUUUAUAAUUUUGAAUAAAAUUUAGAAACAUUAGUUUGUUCUUGAACAUCAAAUGUGCGUGUCUACUUAGGUCAAAAAUCUUUUGAUAAUUUGAAUUUUGGGACGAGGUUUAUAGAGAAAAAAAUACCCUUGCACAGUCGCUUCAUAAAGUUUCUUUUUGUUUGCUAAGGGGGCUUGAUGGUCCUGGCCAUUUUUAGACUAUAUUAAUCUCCUUUAUAAAGAGAGCGGUGUAUUAAGAUACAGCUAAGAUUUAUGGAAAUAAAAGAUUUGACUUUUACUUUGUUCAUUUUGUUGACCACCCAGCCUCUUUUAUUUAAAGUUUUUCCAUCUUGGCAAAACACAUUCUGCUAUGUGCAUUGAAUACAAGUAUGAUCUUAAUGUUAAAUUAUCAUGUAUUCAGUGUGAUCUGUUAACUUUUAAAAUGUACGUAAUUUUAUGAAGUGUUUACAUAAAAAAUACGAGCUAGACAUUUAUUCAUGAUCUAGACGCAUAUGAACAUACUGAACUAUAAUAAUGGACCAGCAAUUUUGAAAAUAUUGGGUUUUUUUUUUAAUUAUUUGUGAUGUUCAUUGUCAUGUUUUUAGAUGUUUCAUAUAAUUUUUUCUGCAUGUUUAAUUGUUUUUUUUUAUCAUUAUGACGUACAUGUACAUACUCUCGUACAUCAGUACAUUUAGUUCUGUUUCAGAUUUUUCUUUAUAUUUAUGAUUACUUCAUCGGUAAUCUAAUAAUUGAUAAUUAAAGAUGUGUAUGGACUAAGCAAACAGGAAGCAGUUUAAUGAGGUCAUCGUGUAGUUUUCCAAGAUUCUAGGUUAAAACAGGAAGUAAAGGUUCAAUUUGUUUUUUUUUCUCCCUGAACAUGCGUUAAUGUAAAACAGAUGAUGAUGGUUAGAGAUACUUUAUUUUAAUUCAUAUUUUAUUCCUUUAUAGUCACAGAUUAUAAUUCAUAAGAAACUUCGUAAACCGGAUUAAUAGUUUUGUUUAAGUUUUCAUGUUCUGAAUAUUUAUUUUUAUAUAAGAUAUGAAAGGAUUGUAUGUCUUUUUUUCCAAAUAAAAUCAUUGAAAUU